CUUGAUUCCUUAGAAUGUUCUUC
rnacentral:piRNA from 1 species